CCGUCAGGCUGUGCAGACCUCGAUUGAAACUCUCAAGUUUCUCAAGCGGGCGGACAGUGAUCUCGAUAUCAACCAGUUUGUAACCGACAAGUAUAUCCGCACCGCACUGACACAGGCUAGGCGCGAUUACGAUGCUGAGUUGAAAAACUAUGCGCAACUUCCGCUCAAGGCCAAGGACGCGGCGACUGGCGCGGACAUCA
rnacentral:misc_RNA from 1 species